GGACGGUUAGCUCAGUUGGUUUUAGAGCGCUUCGUUUACACCGAAGAGGUCGCAGGUUCGAAUCCUGCACCGUCCACCA
rnacentral:tRNA from 1 species